AGAGAGGAACAAGGGAAAGGAGGCUGAUCGAAAGCUGCACACAGGAAAACUCCAAUCGAGUGCACCAUGAGUUAGAGAGAGACCGUUAAUGUACAGCCUGCCUUUCGCAUUGUCCAAUCCAAAAGCUAGAGAGAGAAAAGAGGCGCCAAUCGCGUAAAGCAGGUGAUGACUCAGAGAGAGAAAUGAGCAGCGAAAUGACCUAGAGAAAGAGAGAGAUGGAUUUCCUCCAUUCAUUCACCAUGCUCCUCACUCUCUCGCCCUAAAACUUUCAUCACCCACGAUCACAGAAGAGAGAGAAAAGGAGGGAUUUGUAGAGAGAAGAUGGCUGGAAGGGAGAGGGUGAGAGAGCGGCUCAGGCUGCUACAGGAGGGCCUGGUUUUCGCAUGGCAGGCUAAAGAUGAAGAAGAAGAGGAGGACGACGACGAGAGGAGGAUAGAGAUUGAUGGUGAAUUGGGGGCCCUUUUGCAGGAGCUCUCUCACCUGCAAUCUCGCAUGGCGGUUCUCAUGGAAAAGAUCGGUACCCUCCCGCUUGAGAUCAUCAGAGACAUGCGCGAGGAGGUCCUUGAAGUCACUGAUCAGCUCCGCACCCUCAAUAGAUCCCAUGCUCGCUAACUCGUUGCAAUUGUCGUGGAAGUGUACGUUUGCUCGUAAAAUUUUCUCAUUCCUUUGAAAGCACAGAGGUCAUGGUUGGACAUAAACAUCUAAAAUAAACUUUUUUUUUUUGUGUGUAAGAAUAAUCUUUCAUCUUGGUGUUACCAUAAUUGUUUUGGCUAGAUUUUCUCUAGUCAAAGAGUUUUUUUGUUCAAGAGGAAAGGUCUUGCUUUAUUGGGAUGUUUAGGGCUUUGAGCUUCAUUCUGUUAAUAGAAGGACAAAUUAAAUUUCUGCUUUGGAUGUAAUGUAUUUUUAUUUGGUAGUUAUCCAAUGUUGGAUGUAAUUUGACAUGGAUAUCUUUUGAUAAUUUAUAAUUUGAGAUUGAUGGUCUGAUAAUCCGACAA